rnacentral:rRNA from 1 species
UGGGGAAUUUUGGACAAUGGGCGAAAGCCUGAUCCAGCAAUGCCGCGUGUGUGAAGAAGGCCUUCGGGUUGUAAAGCACUUUUGUCCGGAAAGAAAUCCUUGGCUCUAAUACAGUCGGGGGAUGACGGUACCGGAAGAAUAAGCACCGGCUAACUACGUGCCAGCAGCCGCGGUAAUACGUAGGGUGCAAGCGUUAAUCGGAAUUACUGGGCGUAAAGCGUGCGCAGGCGGUUUGCUAAGACCGAUGUGAAAUCCCCGGGCUCAACCUGGGAACUGCAUUGGUGACUGGCAGGCUAGAGUAUGGCAGAGGGGGGUAGAAUUCCACGUGUAGCAGUGAAAUGCGUAGAGAUGUGGAGGAAUACCGAUGGCGAAGGCAGCCCCCUGGGCCAAGUACUGACACUCAUGCACGAAAGCGUGGGGAGCAAACAGGAUUAGAUACCCUGGUAGUCCACGCCCUAAACGAUGUCAACUAGUUGUUGGGGAUUCUUUCCUUAGUAACGUAGCAACGCGUGAAGUUGACCGCCUGGGGAGUACGGUCGCAAGAUUAAAACUUAAAUGAAUUGACGGGGU